rnacentral:rRNA from 1 species
AUUAUCCCAAGUAGCACGGGGCCCGAGAAAUCCCGUGUGAAUCUGUCAGGACCACCUGAUAAGCCUAAAUACUCCCAGAUGACCGAUAGCGGACAAGUACCGUGAGGGAAAGGUGAAAAGUACCCCGGGAGGGGAGUGAAAUAGUACCUGAAACCGUGCGCCUACAAGCGGUCGGAGCCAGCAAUGGUGACGGCGUGCCUUUUGCAUAAUGAGCCUACGAGUUACUCCUCACUGGCGAGGUUAAGUUCCUGAAGUAACGGAGCCGUAGCGAAAGCGAGUCCGAACAGGGCGUUUUAGUCAGUGGGGGUAGACGCGAAACUUUGUGAUCUAUCCAUGGGCAGGUUGAAGGUGUGGUAACACACACUGGAGGACCGAACCCAUUAACGUUGAAAAGUUAUGUGAUGACCUGUGGAUAGGGGUGAAAGGCCAAUCAAACUGAGAGAUAGCUCGUUCUCCCCGAAAUGUUUUUAGUAACAGCCUCGG